UUGAAUUAUAAGCAGAGGUUUGUUGCUGGCCCCUCGGGGAAUGUGCACGCCCGAGCUCUUAAUCCACUCACACCUGUGAACUCAAUGUGGGAGUGCCCCUCGGGGUGCAUCUCAUGUCUUUCAUAUACUCUUAAUGCAUGUCUCAGAAUGUCUUAUUGUUGCUUUAAUGCAUAUUAUAUAUA
rnacentral:misc_RNA from 1 species